UGCCAAUGAUGCAUUUAAAUUGCACGUAUUAUCAGAAAUGUAUAUGAUGAUAAGCGAUUAUUGUCACUACCUCUGAGGCA